rnacentral:tRNA from 1 species
GGAGCGGGAAGGCACCUGGUGGGCCUCCCGGGCUUCAAACCCGGUGCGGGGUCGCCCACAAAACCGCGACCUCGGGUGGGUUCGAUUCCCAUCCGCUCCCGCCA